AAGACAAAUCUCUCUGGUAGAAAAAUUUCAUAUAAUUUAUGUAGAUACGUCACCCGCAUGGAGGAGAUUCAUGCAUCCCCACUCUUUAAGUGUGAGCUGUGCGUGGUGAAUUCCUUCCAAAGAAUACAGUAUGAAAAUAUGGGAAGAAAAAGAGCCACCUUGCAGUGGAGAACUCUGACAAACACUAUCACAACCAGGUGAUCAAGAGAAAAGACAGUCCACUGUCUUAUGUCAAUCACUGAAAGAAAAGGAAUACAUGAAAUUAAGAAGAAUUAGAGAAACUAUACAAAUACUGGUAAAUUUUGAGGACCAGCCACUGCACAGGACCAGAGACUGUACAGGAGCAGCAGAGACCCACUGGACCUGAAGGCCAAGUGGACAGACAGAGACAACAGACACCUCAGAGGCAAUGGGG